CCUGAGCCCCCCCCCAGCCUGCCCUCAGCCCCUCAGCCUGCCCUCAGCGCCCCCGCAGCCUGCCCUCAGUCCCCCAGCCUGCCCUGAGCCCCCAAGCCUGGCCUGAGGGCGCCCCCCAACCUGCCCAUCACAGGCACAGGCUCCCGGAGGACAGGACGUAGACAGAAGGGGUGGUGAGCUCCGCGUGGGGCUGGACACCCAGUGGCUGCACCGGGAGAGGCCAGCCCAGCCCAGGUCCCUCCCUCCACCGUCCCAGCCCUGACCUCUGACCUCUGCCCUGACCUCGCCCGGCAGGUGGCCACCUGCCCCGGGUGCUCCUCAGCGGGUGCCACCUCCUCGCUGCCCUGGCCGCCAGCCCCCUUCUCUCCUCUCCUCUCCUCUCCGGCCGGCCGGGGUUCCGUGUCCCUGCGAGGCCACAGCCUCUGAUUGGCAGGCGCCCAAGGGGACGGGCUCUGAUUGGCAGGCCUGCCCCGAGGAGAUUUUCCAUCGUUUUUUAUGAAGAGCGCGGAGGGCCAGGGAGACACACACAGAAACGCCCACGGGAGAGACCCGUCCAUGGGCUGCCUCGGGGAUGCAGCCUCGGCCGGCAUCGGGCCCGGACCCUCCCUCCACAGGCGGCGCUGUGACCACCGAGCCACACGGGCCAGGGCUGACCCGGCGCCGGCGCCGUCAGAAGCUCGGAGCGCGGGCGGGCGGAGGUCUCGUUUGGGUCACGUUGCCCGUUUCACCGACAAGGUUCCCCAGACGCCCCAGUGGGAGGCUCGGGCCCGUGCUGUGUUCCAGGCUGAGUGUCUGGUUUCUGAAAAGGGCCGAUUUCUAGACGGAAGGAAGCCUUGGGAACUUCUAUUAAUAGUUACCUCUGGCCCUGGCCAGUGUGGCUCAGUGGGUAGAGCGUCGGCCUGCGGACCUAAGGGUCCCGGGUUCGAUUCCGGCCAAGGGCACGCACGAUCUCUCCCCCAGUCGGGGCGUGCAGGUGGCAGCCGGUCCAUGAUUCUCUCAUCGUUGAUGUUUCUAUCUCCCUCUCCCUUCUUCUCUGAAAGCAAUAAAAAAUGUAUUAAAAAAAGAAUAUUGUUUUUAAAAAAGAUGUAAGUUACCAAAAAAAAGAGCAAGUGAAUGCACACCCAUCCCUGUGUGUCUCAGGCCAAUAAGUGUGACCGGUGGUUUUAUGCAGAUAUAUCCGUUAUUAUUGGGGAAAUUCCGGACUUCCAGAGAGGGAGCCGUACCUUCGCACAGGCCCCUGCGGCUUUUGAUAUCUUACUCAGGCGUCCCAGCCGAAACCAGCAGAUUGUUAAACAUAUAAUUGUCCGUGCAAGAACGUAUUUUAUAUAGAAUUUGUAAAUUGUUUCACAAAUAAAGGUAUAUGUGUAUAUAUACAGAGA